rnacentral:rRNA from 1 species
AACGGAGGGGGCGAGUGUUACUCAUAAUGACUGGGCGUAAAGGGUACGUAGACGGCUUGAUAACUGGUUUGUAAAAUAGAAGGUUAAUACUUUCUCCUGUUUUCCAAAGUGUUAAGCUCGAGUUUUGUUUAAGGGUAAUGGUACUUUUAAGGAAGAGGUGAUAUUCGACGAUAUUAAAAGGACCAUCAAAGGCGAAGGCGAUUACCUGGGCUUAACUGACGUUGAGGUACUGAAGCGUGGGUAUCAAAAUCGGG